AAGGCCUUAAGUUAAGCAAAACUAAUAACCUUCAAAGCUAUAAAUAAAGGGCUCCCUUUAGGCCUUG
rnacentral:tRNA from 1 species